rnacentral:rRNA from 1 species
AUUGAACGCUAGCGGGAUGCUUUACACAUGCAAGUCGAACGAGUGGCGGACGGGUGAGUAAUAUAUCGGAACGUGCCCAGUAGCGGGGGAUAACUACUCGAAAGAGUGGCUAAUAACGCAUACUAUUGGAGCGGCCGAUAUCGGAUUAGCUAGUGGGUGGGGUAAAGGAUCAGCAAGGCAACGAUCCGUAGCUGGGUUGAGAGGACGACCAGCCACACUGGGACUGAGACACGGCCCAGACUCCUCCGGGAGGCAGGAGUGGGGAAUUGUGGACAAUUGGGGAAACCCUGAUCCAGCCCACCCACGUAGAUGAGAAGGCCUUCGGGUUGUAAAGUACUUUUGGCAGAGAAGCGGUAUCUGAAGAAUAAGCACCGGCUAACUACGUGCCAGCAGCCGCGGUAAUUC